rnacentral:tRNA from 1 species
GGGAGGAUGGCCGAGCGGUUAUGGCGUGUGACUCAAGUUCUCAUGGGUUUAUCCCGCGUGGGUUCGAAUCCCACUCCUCUCA